AUGCGAUGGCAAAUUACCCAGAGCGUAAGAUAGUACCAGUUACUGUAGAUAUUACUGGCAGUAGCAGUAGCAGUCAGUAUCCUGCAUAUCAGCCACUACAAGUAAAUCAAGAUAAAGAGUCAAAAUACUUGAAUCUGGUGGUGCAACUGCAGAGCCAACUAAUAGAGCAGCAAAGGCAACUCAAUUUGUUGGCGGAAUAACAAAAAGAACUUCAACCUCAGCCGCAGCAGCAGCUGCAACCUGCUCAACUCUCAACAGUUGCAGAAAAUCAAGGUGGUAACGUAAAUCAAGGAGGUCAAGGAAAAGGAAAAAAGUCUAAAAAGAAAAAGAAAAAUUCAGAAAGGGUUGCUGAUAACUCCAUGCCAUUUUACGAAUACAAUAAGUUCUAUGAAUAUAUGAGAACGAGGAAUAGUCACCAACAACACGGAGGAAGAAGUGGAAGAGGUAGAGGAAGAGGCG